GACGAACGCUGGCGGCGCGCUUAACACAUGCAAGUCGAGCGAGAACCAGGGCUUCGGCCCUGGGGACAGCGGCGAACGGGUGAGUAACACGUGGAUAACCUGCCCUCGGCACCGGGAUAGCCCGGGGAAACCCGGAUUAAUACCGGAUGGCCCUUCCGGCUCACGAGCCGGUCGGAAAAGGUAGCUUCGGCCGCCGGCCGAGGAGGGGUCCGCGGCGGAUUAGCUUGUUGGUGGGGUACCGGCCCACCAAGGCUCCGAUCCGUAGCUGGUCUGAGAGGACGAUCAGCCACACUGGGACUGAGACACGGCCCAGACUCCUACGGGAGGCAGCAGUGGGGAAUCUUGCGCAAUGGGCGAAAGCCUGACGCAGCGACGCCGCGUGAGGGAGGAAGGCCUUCGGGUUGUAAACCUCUUUCAGGAGGGACGAAGCUACUCGGGUGAAUAGCCCAGAGGGUGACGGUACCUCCAGAAGAAGCCCCGGCUAAUUACGUGCCAGCCGCCGCCGUAA
rnacentral:rRNA from 1 species